AGGACGAACGCUGGCGGCGUGCUUAACACAUGCAAGUCGAGCGAGGCUCUCCCUUCGGGGGGAUGCCCUAGCGGCGAACGGGUGAGUAACACGUGGGCAACCUGCCCCUAGCUCUGGGAUAACUCCGGGAAACCGGGGCUAAUACCGGAUAUGACCUCGAGAAGCAUUUCUCUUGGUGGAAAGUUUUUCGGCUAGGGAUGGGCCCGCGGCCUAUCAGCUUGUUGGUGGGUAACGGCCUACCAAGGCGACGAC
rnacentral:rRNA from 1 species